rnacentral:misc_RNA from 1 species
GACAGAGGUGGCGACCGUUGUUCGGAAUCACUGGGCAUAAAGCGCGCGUAGGCGGCAUAGUAAGUCGGGUGUGAAAUCCCUCGGCCCAACCGAGGAAUUGCGCUCGAAACUACCUUGCUUGAGGACAGGAGGGGAGCCUGGAAUUCCUGGUGGAGCGGUGAAAUGCGUUGAUAUCAGGAGGAACACCGGCGGCGAAGGCGAGGCUCUGGCCUGUUUCUGACGCUGAGGCGCGAAAGCUAGGGGAGCAAACGGG